UUGUCUUUAACCCCUUUACAUGUUAAUCAGAAAAUAUAUAUUUCAACAAUACCAUUUGCUAAUUUUUGUAUUUGAUUGUUAGCGGCUUCUGAUGGCAAUCAAGAGCAGAAAAUUGAACAGAUGAAGGAAUAACUACUGUCUAAUCGCUGCAACUGCUUCGCGAAAUACGACAAAUGCUUAUUAAGCCGACGAUCGCAAUAGGCAAGCUGUCCUCAUCGCCAAUUUGUGCUGCAUGUCCCUGCAAAUGCAUUGGACCACUGCAGAGGCCAGUGGCUUUAAUCGGCGUUGAACAGUAUUGACACACAAUAAUGAAUUCUAAUGAUGCAAUUGAGAAUACAUCGUUUGUAAAUGAAGAUUUAUCAGAGGAAUAUGAGCACUUGAUCUCAUUAUGCUGGGAUUCAGGAAAUAUGUCUGCCACUUUCAUCACCCUGCAGACGAUGGAAAUGUUCGUGGUGCCGGAAAUAACGGAUUUGCGCCCAAUGUUUUCCUACACCCACAAUCUCUUUCGUCAACUCAACCCUAUCGUGGUGCUGGCGAGUGGCCAUGAGAGUUUUCUGCGUGAGAUAAUGACUCUCCUGAAGCUUCCUGAGGAGGCUGACCCCAAAGAUUAUGUGAGCGCGGCGAAUCAGAGUGGCCGGAAUAACUUUGUGGUCUUUCCGCAGAGUGAGAAGAGUGUGGGACAGAAUCGCCAGCGCCUGUGGAAUAUCAAUCUAUCAGGUUUCCACAGUGAGGUGGAGAAGCAGUCGUACUUGAAGACCCAGAUACCGCCACAUCAGAAAUUGGUGAUUCAGAGUGCGGGCAAUUUGCUGAAGUAUAUGGAAACAAAUUGGAAAUCCAUAUCGCCGCAAGACAAUACCAACAUGCCCAUAAUCACAUCGCUAAAAGUGUUCUCCCUCAAAAGUCAAGUCUUAAUCGACGACUCGUCAUAUCUGGCACUGGAAAUCUUCAACACAGCUCCACAUCCGUCGGGCUUCAAGAAGGGUCUCAAAGGUACCGAACAGACUGGCUUUUCGCUCUAUCGAUUGCUAAAUCACUGCCAAUCGAAAAUUGGCUGCGAUGAGAUGAAAAUGAUAUUUCAACAGCCGACUAAUGAGAUUUCCGUUCUCAACAAGAGAUUUGAGACAAUCGAGUGGUGCAUGAGUGCACAAAAUGCUGGCACGGUGGAGCGUUUGAGGAAAAUGCUGAGGCACGUGUACGAGAUAAGUCGGUGUUUUAGGAAAAUUCUCGAGAAUCCCAACAAGAUGUAUUUCUGGAAAAUCUUCCGCACCAGCAUCACAAAUGCCUUCCAUGUAGCCGAAUUGUGCCGCGACAGCACACAGCCUGGUGAGAAGUGUGGAGUUGUUGGAGAUUUGCGCGAUGCUAUAGAGAGUCAGGUUGACAUAAUGGUUGUGUUUAUGGCAAUCAACGAAAUUAUUGAUUUUGACGAGGGUGUCGCACAGAAUAAAUUCACCGUGCACAUGGGUUUCGACGCGGAGUUGGAUAAAUUGAAGGAGUACUUCAAGAGGAUACAAGCAGACGUUCCGGAUGAUACCAAGGAGGAGAUCAGGCGCCUUUUCCCCGCUUAUGAUAGCUGUGAAUUUACAUUGGUGCCCGAGAUGGGCUUUGUCGUGUCCAUUAAGAGCCCCCUCAACAGUCCUGUGAGCAUUGACUCAUCUAGUGCGAGUGCUGCGAAUGGUGGUUUUAAAUUCCUCUAUAAGACCGAAGGAUACUACUACUACAGUGCUCCAUACUGUGUGGAAAUGAAUACGAAGUAUGGGCACAUUCACCAUGACAUCUGCUUGAAGGAGCAAGAGAUAUGCAGUGAACUCAUCAACUCCAUGGCGAAAAACAUCGGCAAAUUGCUCAAUAUUGUGAAGUACUGCGCCCAAUUGGAUUGCUUCAUGGCAUUCGCUGCCGUGGCGGCGACACGCAAAUAUGUUCGACCGCAAAUGAGCCAGGAUAAAGUGGUGAAAAUUGAAGCAGGGCGCCAUGCACUGCAGGAGGAGUGCGAUAAUUUCAUACCGAAUGACAUUCAUGUGGCGGAAUCGAGAGAGAAUCUCAUAACAAUAAUAACAGCACCCAAUUCAGCCGGAAAGUCCAUUUAUCUGAAGCAAGUCGGAAUUAUAGUGUACUUAGCUCACAUCGGAUGCUAUGUACCUGCCGCCUCGGCGCACAUUGGCACCAUCGACUCCAUCUACUCACGGAUUCACAGCACUGAGGCUAUGCACCAGGGCGCAUCCUCCUUUCUCUAUGAUCUCCAGCAGAUGGGCAAAGUGAUGAUCAACUCAAGCAGUCGCUGUCUCAUACUCAUUGACGAGUUCGGCACCGGAACGAAUGUCAAUGAGGGAAAGAGUCUUCUCGUGGCGUGCAUUGAGGAUUUGUCGAGGCGAGGCAAAUCGGCACCCAUUGCCCUCUUCUCCACCCACUACAUGGAUGUGGUGGAUCUGUGUGAGUCACGUGAGAUGGUGAAGGAGAUCACAAUCAAGAGCUACUUUGAUGACAACGGCAGGCUUCAGACGACCUACAAGAUUGUCGAUGGGCGUUGUCCUCUGCAGUACGCUAAUGAAUUGCACAAUAUUCGACGAUCUGAGGAGGGUCUGCGGGUGUUCACCGAUGACAGGCUGAAGAUGAUUCAAGACACAAUGAAAUCCACUGGCCAGCCUGACGCCGCGAAAUUGGUGAAAAACAAGACAGUAUGUGCGUUUGAAGUGAUGAAGACAUAUUUGGCGUCAAACAGAAAUAUUGAUGAGACCAUUAAGAAGUUCUAUGAAUAUGAAAUUGAAUAAUAAUGGCUCAACUUAAGGCGUAAUGAAAUGUUGUUAGCGGCGACAGAAUGUGCGCAAGUGUUGGGACUUUUGCAGGGUGUCUGUCGGUGAGAAUUAUUCAUUUUAAAAUUGCAGGGCGUUAUUUGUGAAUAAUUUCGAUGUGGAGAAUUAUUGAAUUGUGGCGAAGAGAGCAAAGAGAGAAGACGAAGCUGCUGCUGAUAACAUAGUCUGUAACAUUCAACCCGCUAUCCAUACAUACCUUCUUCAGGAGGAGAAAGAUAUCCUUAAGCGACGCGUAACAAACUG